AAUGGAUCGUCAAGAAUACCGAAUUCGCAUACUCUUCCUGCUAUUGUCGGUCAAUUGUGACGGCCACGUGUUCCAAGGUUGGAACGAAACAGAAUUGCUGCAAGGACAAGGGACAAGACUGUAAACAAUAAAGUCUUGGAAGACGCUUUUCAAGCGGCGUUAAGAUUCCGAAAGGAUACCGAAGUGUUUUCCGAGAUGGCUGUCUGGUCUGUGUGAAAAAAUGUAAGGAUUCGCGCGGGGGCGGACCUGGCGUUUCCAGGAUCGUAGAAAUCGUAAAGGACGAUCAAGGUCACCGUGGGGAAACCGUGAUUUCUCUAUGUCGAGACACCGUCGCCCAUCUAACAGAUGCAAUUAGUCGUAUGAUGCGAUAUGUGUGUUCACGGUUGAUCAAGAUAUCUAUAAAACGACCAAUCAAAUGGAACCAUCGGGCUCUAUUAACUGAAAGGACGCUGGAAUAAGAAGGUAGCAAGAACUCCACUUUCCAGUAAUGCGCGUCUUCGGUACGAUACGAGCAACCAAGAAUUUUAUGCCUCGGUCCGACGACACAAACGGGUUCGAGCGUUUCUAGCUUUGUAAGAAGCAUAUCCUUGCGAAUAGCAGGGGACAUAAACGAGGCGUGAGCGAAUACUCUUUUCUUGGAGAGGCCCUAUAAGCGACUGGACAAUAAUGCCACUCUGCGUUCUGAGAACCGCUUGCCAGCGUUUCGAUG
rnacentral:misc_RNA from 1 species